GCCCCUCAGUCACACUCGUGUUUCUUCUGCUAUCCAAAGAUUUACCACUAGAACUUGUUUUCCAAUUCCCAGAUGCUCUUCUGGAAGCUACAUGUGCUGAUUUUAACCUGGUCUUCCCAAGAGGUCCCCACCUGAUGAUCCCGUGCAGUGCAUUUGGCAGGCUUUGCGCUUGGAGUCCUCCUUCUUACUCCUAAGCCCCAGAAAAGCAUCCCCAUGCAGAUAAACCCAUGAGAGGAGCCCUGAGUCCACCACUUCAAACACUUCACCAUAUCUGGAAUUUCGUCAGGCAGCUCCCUGCCCUCACAUGCAUGGAACUCACAACGGCUUCCUAGAGCCUUGAUCUUCAGUCUGACCACCACCUCUGUGCAGGAAAGGUCCAGUCUGAAAGAGGAAGACCCAAAUAUGCGAGAAACAAGGCAAGCACAAGAGAAAUCUGUAGUAUUUCAAUAUGUGGAGCUUUGGAGGUAUUGACCCGUGGAUCUGGGUCGAACAGGACUCUCAGACUUCAGCCUCACGUUCCCUAGGACUUUGCAGGAGGCUUCCUUGUUUCAGCUGGAUUUGAACCUGGAGAAGCUGGGAGUUCACCUGCAUCCUAAGAAUGAAGCUUGCACAGA